GCGCUCUGAUGAGGCCGCAAGGCCGAAACUGCCGCAAGGCAGUCAGCGC
rnacentral:misc_RNA from 1 species